GUGCUCGCUUCGGCAGCACAUGUACUAUAAUCAGAACGAUACAGAGAUUAGCAUGGCCCCUGCGCAAGGAUGACACGAAAAUUUGUGAAGUGUUCCAUGUUUUA
rnacentral:snRNA from 1 species